GCAUGGAGACAGAAAGAAAAGAGCUAGUUCAGUGAGAGACAGUGGUGCAUCUCAAGCUGUUCUGGAGACACUGGCCAGCUGCCUCCAUUUCCAAUCAGCACUAAUUAGGAGCUCUGAAACAAAGAUGUUAGUGAGACCCAGAGAAAAGAAAAGGCCUUGGGCCGUAACAGGUUGCACAAAAUCAUUCAGAGGGCCACAAAUGGCCCCCGGGCCGCACUUUGGACACCCCUGACCUACAUAGAACAGUGUGGUGGUUC